rnacentral:rRNA from 1 species
GUAACAAGGUUUCCGUAGGUGAACCUGCGGAAGGAUCAUUACCUAGAGUUGUAGGCUUUGCCUGCUAUCUCUUACCCAUGUCUUUUGAGUACCUUCGUUUCCUCGGCGGGUUCGCCCGCCGAUUGGACAAUUUAAACCAUUUGCAGUUGCAAUCAGCGUCUGAAAAAAACUUAAUAGUUACAACUUUCAACAACGGAUCUCUUGGUUCUGGCAUCGAUGAAGAACGCAGCGAAAUGCGAUAAGUAGUGUGAAUUGCAGAAUUCAGUGAAUCAUCGAAUCUUUGAACGCACAUUGCGCCCCUUGGUAUUCCAUGGGGCAUGCCUGUUCGAGCGUCAUUUGUACCUUCAAGCUCUGCUUGGUGUUGGGUGUUUGUCUCGCCUCUGCGCGUAGACUCGCCUCAAAACAAUUGGCAGCCGGCGUAUUGAUUUCGGAGCGCAGUACAUCUCGCGCUUUGCACUCAUAACGACGACGUCCAAAAGUACAUUUUUACACUCUUGACCUCGGAUCAGGUAGGGAUACCCGCUGAACUUAAGCAUAUCAAUA